rfam:Confluentimicrobium lipolyticum strain CECT 8621 genome assembly, contig: 0001
GGCCACCUACGGGGGGCUAAUCACAUAGGCAGGUUUACCUGUCGCAGCUAAACGGAAGACAGAAA